rnacentral:rRNA from 1 species
CUAAGAAUAUUCCGCAAUGGACGGAAGUCUGACGGAGCGACGCCGCGUGGAUGAAGAAGGCCGAAAGGUUGUAAAGUUCUUUUGCUGGGGAAGAAUAACCGCAGGAGGGAAUGCCUGUGGGAUGACAAGAACCGGCGAAUAAGCCCCGGCCAACUACGUGCCAGCAGCCGCGGUAACACGUAGGGGGCGAGCGUUGUUCGGAAUUACUGGGCGUAAAGGGCAUGUAGGCGGCUUGGAAAGCCUGGCGUGAAAGUCUGCAGCUUAACUGCAGGGGUGCGCUGGGAACUGCUGAGCUUGAGUGACGGAGAGGGAGCUGGAAUUCCUGGUGUAGGGGUGAAAUCUGUAGAUAUCAGGAAGAACACCGAUGGCGAAGGCAAGCUCCUGGCCGAUGACUGACGCUGAGGUGCGAAAGUGUGGGGAUCAAACAGGAUUAGAUACCCUGGUAGUCCACACAGUCAACGAUGUGCACUAGGUGCUGGGGCGGUAGCUUCGGUGCCGGAGCGAACGUGGUAAGUGCACCGCCUGGGGAGUAUGCUCGCAAGGGUGAAACUCAAUGAAUUGAC